CCGCCACGUCGCCGAGGUGGGCCACGGCCCGUCCGCCCGUCGCGCGGAUCUCCUCGACGACGGACCCGGCGGGCCCGGCGGACGCCUCCCCGGUGCCGUCCC
rnacentral:tRNA from 1 species